rnacentral:rRNA from 1 species
CACGUAGGGGGCGAGCGUUGUCCGGAUUUAUUGGGCGUAAAGAGCUCGUAGGCGGCUCAGUUAGUCGGGUGUGAAACCCCCGGGCUCAACCCGGGGACGCCACCCGAUACUGCUGUGGCUAGAGUCCGGUAGGGGAGCGUGGAAUUCCUGGUGUAGCGGUGAAAUGCGCAGAUAUCAGGAGGAACACCGGUGGCGAAGGCGGAUCUCUGGGCCUUACCUGACGCUCAGGUGCGAAAGCUAGGGGAGCGAACAGG